GCACAGAAUACAAGUCACACCAGGAUGAGCCAAUUCCCUUUCCCAUGAAAUAUUCUGUUUUCUUGGUAUAUGCGUAUGUAGGUGACAUGUAGAAGAGUCAUGAACAGAGUAACCUACUACCUGCCGAGAGAAGUGUUCCUGAUGAACCUAGGGAAGCAAAGCAGUUGAUACACGAAGCCUAGUCCAUGAAAGGAGAGGUCCAAACCAAGUCCAAUAUGGAGAAGAAGAUCUAAAUUCGGCAGAAUAUCAAGGAAUAUCCAAGUCUUGAAAACCCUGAUUAAUUUCGGGAAAAUUCCUGUGCACGUCUCUCAACUUCAACGGACUCUCCAGGACAGCUCACAAUGAAUCAGAAAACGUGCUAAAUAUGGACAGAGAGCUACGGGAGUCUAGUUUCCAAAUCAAUUGGAAUCACCUUAAUAUCUAUUUUCUAGAGGGAGUUAUGACAUAAUCAUUAGACGGAGUUCAUUCUGCCG